UACAGAGGUGGCAAGCGUUGUUCGGAAUUACUGGGCGUAAAGGGCGCGUAGGCGGUUCGUUAAGUCCUGUGUGAAAUCCCCCGGCUCAACUGGGGAACUGCACAGGAAACUAGCGGGCUUGAGUUCGGGAGAGGGAAGCGGAAUUCCGGGUGUAGCGGUGAAAUUCGUAGAUAUUCGGAGGAACACCAGUGGCGAAGGCGGCUCACUGGCUCGAUACUGACGCUGAGGUGCGAAAGCGUGGGGAGCAAACAGG
rnacentral:rRNA from 1 species